UAAUCCCUUGUUUGCAAUGACAACACCGGGGUGUGUGGACAGCGUCUUGUCCUCACAGGGACCCGUGUUCUGGGUAUGGAUUUGUCUUCCUCGCCUGGAGGGCUUCUACCAACACUACCGUUUCCAGAUUUAGACACUGCCCGGAUUUCCAGGUCCAGGAACCAAGGAGAGAUGAGAGAGAAGAGCGAGAGUGAGCACAGGCAGACAGAGUGACAAGCAGAGGCAGAGGAGAAGCAGGCUCCCUGCCAAGCAAGGAGCCCAAUGUGGGACUCGAUCCCAGGAUGCUGGGAUCAUGACCUGAGCCAAAGGCAGCUGCCUAACCAACUGAGCCACCCAGGCAUCCCUACAGGAGACAUUUGGCAUUGCUGGAAGACAGUUGGAGGUAGAAGGCACUACUGGUACCCAGUGGCUAAGGUGGGGGAAAGGUGGAAACUGGUCACAAUCCUGCAGUGCACAACAAAGAAUCAUCUCAGCGUCAAUGUUAGUAGUGCUGAGGCCAAGAAACCCCGCUCUGGGGGCAUCUGGCUGGCUCAUUGGGAAAGCAUGCAACUCCUGAUCUCCAGGUUUAGGGGAGGAUCGAUGUCCUAACAUCCCAGGAUCAGUCCGGUCCCUGUGGGAGUAAACCUCGGGGUUGUCUUUGAAAGUUUGAAGAAUCUGGGGAGACCCUGCUCACCAUCAAGAUGGUCCUGAAAUCGUGACCACGAUCUACCGCAUGGGAAACAAAGCAAAUAUUGUACUCUUGUCGAAGGAUGAGGGAGACUGAGAUUUCUGGCUCCUAAAACAGUGCCCGGAAUAUAGUAUUUUGAUGCCAGCUGGCGGACUAGAGUUCAGUUCUGGCCAUAACCACCCAGAGUUAGUGCAGACCCCACUGUUUAAAGGGGGCGCUCCACAGCAAUACCACUCCUAUUUCCUACCGCCUGGCUGCAGACUGGGGGGUUCUCUUGAUUCCCUCAGGUGUGCUAAUUUUCUGUAACCAAGCACAGAACAGGAAAGCAUUGCACUUAAUGAUCACAAUUUUAUGAUACAGGAGACAAAUCAGGACCAGCUACACGAAGAAAUAUAUAGGAUGAGAUCUGAAAGGUCCCAAAUGCAUAGCUUCUGUGUGCUCUUUCCACGGAUUAGGGAACAUCACUCCCUUAGCACAUCACCAGCCAGGAAGCCCACUGAGUUUUCAUUGGGAUUUCCUUCUGCAGGCCAGAUGGAUUAAAUCAUUGGCCAUACAACUGAACCUAAUCUACAGCCUCUUUUCCCUCCUUGGAGGUCAGGUGGGCUCGAAGUUCUGCCUCUCUAAUUGCAUGGUUGGUCCUUCUGGUGACCAGAUCCCUUCCUGAAGCUACCAAGGAGACCUCCAAGAGUCACCUCGCUAGCAAAACUCAAGUGUCAUCCGGAAAUCUCAUUAGUAACUAUGACAUUUCUAUCACCUGGGAAAUAUCAAGGCUUUUAGGAGCUCCAUGCCAGGAACCUGGCACAAAUUCUUUAUUCUACAACACAUAGUAGACACUCAAUAAAUAUUUGCUAAGUGGAAAGAGACACUAAAAAUGCCAGAAAUUGGCAGGGGAGAGGAAGGCAGUUAGGCUCUUAGAUUCUUCCACGUGACAAGUGUAUGUGCCUAUUAUGAAGACAGACACAUUAGGUUACAAAAAACCAAUACCGUCAAACAUUCCAAUCCUAUGACAGAUUCCUUUUGCUCUGGUUUACAUUACCAAGCACCCUGAUGAUAAUUUGACUUCCCAUGUGACUUGUGUAUAGAAAGACAAGGCUAGACGGGCAGACAUAAGCAUGUCCGUCUGCCUGAGUCAGUUUCUUGUUGCAAAUUAAUAAAGUGGCAUUCUGGCUCACGUG